rnacentral:rRNA from 1 species
GAUGAACGCUGGCGGCGUGCCUAAUACAUGCAAGUCGAGCGAACAGACGAGGAGCUUGCUCCUCUGACGUUAGCGGCGGACGGGUAAGUAACACGUGGAUAACCUACCUAUAAGACUGGGAUAACUUCGGGACACCGGAGCUAAUACCGGAUAAUAUAUUGAACCGCAUGGUUCAAUAGUGAAAGACGGUUUUGCUGUCACUUAUAGAUGGAUCCGCGCCGCAUUAGCUAGUUGGUAGGGUAACGGCUUAUCAAGGCAACGAUGCGUAGCCGACCUGAGAGGGGGGUCGGCCACACUGGAACUGGGACACGGUCCAGACUCCUACGGGAGGCAGCAGUAGGGAAUCUUCCGCAAUGGGCGAAAGCCUGACGGAGCAACGCCGCGUGAGUGAUGAAGGUCUUCGGAUCGUAAAACUCUGUUAUUAGGGAAGAACAAAUGUGUAAGUAACUAUGCACGUCUUGACGGUACCUAAUCAGAAAGCCACGGCUAACUACGUG